CUUACACCAUAGCCACAGCAAUGCCAGAUCUGAGCCACUUCCGCAAGCUACACCACAGUUCACAGCAACACUGGAUCCUUAACCCACUGAGUGAGGCCACGGAUUGAACCACAUCCUCAUGGAUCCUAGUUGGGUUCAUUAUUGCUGAGCCACGACAUGGGAACUCCGUGGACAAAGAACAAGCAAAUGGAGGCUUACUGCUGUCUUUUACAAUUCCCUGAACGUGCCUUGAGAUUUCUUAUUCCUGCACCACUGCCAGGAGCGAAGACCAGUGAUUUCUUGUUAGUCCAUAGUUUUAUCUGUACUAUGCACCCCCUGAUUUUGAAUAGAAUAAUUGAAUUGUUCAAUUUACAAUUCUAUACCUUCUUUAAAACUGUCAUAACUCUGCUUAGUUAAAAAGAAUUAAAAUGAUAGCUUGCAAAGUAUCUGUUUUAGGUUGUACUACUUAAUUACUGAGAUAGAUCUCAACUUCCACAGGUAAAAAAACAGUCUUACUUUCCUUAACUACUUCUUUGAAGGGCAACUUCCUUAGGUACUUGUAUUUUUUCCCUCCAAACUAUUUUAUCUGACACCAAACAUAGGUUUUACAUUUCCAAGCAAAGUACAACAUCUCUCAAGGUUUGUUGACAUGUUUCCAGUCCUGUGGGUGUCUCCCAGGCAACAGAAAUUUAGGGGAACUAAACAUAGUAUAUGAAAAACAGAUGGAAAUUGAGAUGUUGAUCAAAUGAACAGUGAAAAUGGAAACUAGGAAAAUGCCAGGCCUCACAUAGAUGCUUGUAACCUGAUGAUACCGCAAGACGCAAGUGGUGAAGACUGGCUGCUGAAAUACCAGCUUGUAUUAGGCAGAGCUGGAGGUAGGGUUCCCUAUCUUCUGGCUUGGACAAACUGUUUCUGGAUGCUGGGGAAAAGCUUGGCUACACAUCUCACUCAGAAUGUCUCCCUUAAGAGUCAUCAUUUCUGGAAGUGCUUCCAGAUAUUUUCUUGUGAGGAUGUCAACUUUAAUUUGCAACAUCUAAUUCAGUGUCAGCAAAGUAGCAAGUCUGUACAGAGAAAGAAGGAGUCCAAAGAAACAAAGUUGAGGUAUUUCAAGAAGGAAUAGUGAAGCAACUGGGACAGAGUCCUACGAUUCACCUGCCAGAGGAGGCAAAGAGCUUUGCGGCUGAAAUACAUCAUCUGACAAAGUCAAGUUCUAAUUAUAUUUAUGCAAGGUUAAAUUUGAAGUGAAAAAGUAAGUGCUGAUUUAGUGAUGCCAUUUACUAGACUGUUGACCUUCUCUUAUUGAUCUGUCAACAGUAAAAUGGAAUUAAUGUGGCUACCUUGUAAUGGAAUGGACAUUUUCCCCAUGCGUUUGAAGUUAAGAUAAGCUCUUACUUGAAUCUCUUCAAGUAAGAUAUGCUCUUACUUGAAUUAAAAUCACGUGUGAUUUUAAUCUCUUCCUUCUCCUUUGCUAUGACUCAGAAAUUCAUAGGUGCUUCAUCUGGAGAGAUUUUUUGGCCUACCUUUCCCCUCUAACUAUGUUGUGUGCUAAUGCCAUGAGUUUUCCUGGUACGCUCUACUUCCCCAUCAGAACAUUGAAUUAGCUUCAUUAUUGUUGUUUAAUUUAUUAUCACCUCAGAUAAGUUUCACUGAGGGCAAGGAAACUGCUUCAAUCUCCUACCAUCCUACAGCCAUACUCACCACUGCUUCUUCAGAACACAGCCCUUGUAAAUGUUUCAAUAAUUAUUGUUGAAUGAUGGGAUUACUCCAAAUAUCUAUUAAGCCACACUGGCCCUUCUCUUCAACAGUAUGGGAAACACAAAC
rnacentral:lncRNA from 1 species